AAAUUACAUUGUGCGCUUGGUCCACACUAUGGACUGUAGAGCGCUUUAAUCCUCUCAACUUCACAGAACAAACAUUCACCAUUGGAUGCUCUGCCAUUUACUUUGAUAGUGAGAAAGGAUCUAAAAUACCUACGAAAGAAAUUGAACUCAUGUAGUUGUGAAUUUGAACUAAUCUGCUUACACUGAUUUCUGUUAUAAAUAAAAACCAUGGCUUUGAUUACUCAACAGAGGCAAUCACCUGCUCCUUUUCUAUAUAGACAUCUUGCAAGUCAGUCUUGAUGGACUACUUAAUCCGUGUGCCUCUUUCUUU
rnacentral:lncRNA from 1 species